UACGUAGGGUGCGAGCGUUGUCCGGAAUUAUUGGGCGUAAAGAGCUCGUAGGCGGUCUGUCGCGUCGGCUGUGAAAACCCGGGGCUCAACCCCGGGCCUGCAGUCGAUACGGGCAGACUAGAGUGCGGUAGGGGAGACUGGAAUUCCUGGUGUAGCGGUGAAAUGCGCAGAUAUCAGGAGGAACACCGGUGGCGAAGGCGGGUCUCUGGGCCGAUACUGACGCUGAGGAGCGAAAGCGUGGGGAGCGAACAGG
rnacentral:rRNA from 1 species